rnacentral:misc_RNA from 1 species
CAGUGGUAGAUGGUAAGCG